rnacentral:rRNA from 1 species
CCUACGGGAGGCAGCAGUGGGGAAGAUUGCGCAAUGGGCGAAAGCCUGACGCAGCGACGCCGCGUGAGGGAUGAAGGUCUUCGGAUCGUAAACCUCUGUCAGCAGGGAAGAACGGUCACUGUGCUAAUCAGCAGUGAAUUGACGGUACCUGCAAAGGAAGCACCGGCUAACUCCGUGCCAGCAGCCGCGGUAAUACGGAGGGUGCGAGCGUUAAUCGGAAUUACUGGGCGUAAAGCGAGCGUAGGCGGUAUGUCAAGUCAAGGGUGAAAUCCCCGCGCUCAACGUGGGAACUGCCUUUGAAACUGGCAACCUGGAGUUUGUGAGAGGAUAGUUGAAUUCCAGGUGUAGGCGU